rnacentral:lncRNA from 1 species
CUGUCCAGUGGCAGAGGAGGCAGAAGGAGCCAAGUCCGCCCCUCCUCCCCCUGUGCUCUCUGCCCAUCUCUUUCCUUGCUCUCCCACCCACACUCCUGCCCUUUUCUUUCCACACCCACUCAUGAAGUCUCAGGAUUGGGUUCCUAUGGUGUGUAAGCCAAAAGGAAAGAGAUGGCCUCCUUCACUGUCCAAGUUAUUUGCUGUCUUGUCUCUAUGAGGAAAUACCUAACAAGAAGAUGCUUGAGUGGGGGAGGAGUUUAUUCGGCAUCUGACCUGGAACCUUGCAGCCUGCAGUGGAGGAAGGCCUCGCUGCUCCCCGCGUGCGCUGGGCAUUCUGGUGGUGGUUGCUGAGCACACAGGCAGAUUUUCUUCUUCCCAGGUCUCUUGGUGAGGUUCCAACAGGAAAGCUGUGCCUAACUUCUGUGAAUUUCAUCCCCUGCACCCGGCACUGCAUCUCACUCGCCCUGUUAGGCUUCAAGGAAGGCACUAGCGAUUGAGGAUUUCAUCAUGAAAACAUGGCAGAAGAAGGGGUCUUAGAGAACCUGGAAGCCACUAUCCUAAGAGAAUCCACCGAAGAAAUGAAUACCCAGUGUGCUUCACUGGUGUCAGCCAGCAAAGGCUCUUUAGCUGUUUGGAAACAGCCAUGCUUCACCGAGUCAGACAUCUGUCCACAGGGAAACCACGGUGAAGCUCUCCUCUGCUUUGAACACAUGUAAGAUUUUGCAGCUGUCAAAUGGGCCCUGACCACAGGGUAGGGUGGCUCCUGGAGAUGCCCUGUGUCUCAAGACAGCAUCUACGUGCCAGCUGGUAUGGGGCCUAUGUCCUCAAAAACAGGCACAGCUGUCUCAGGGUGCUCUGUGGAAAGACCCAGACCCUGACUUAGCAAACAGCUUGGUUAUCCGACCUUGAACUGUUUCUCAACCGUGCGUAUGUAUGUGAGGACAGAUAGCCAGAACAUUCUUCAAGGCCAGAUCACCAGUACAGUCUGGCUGGCUAGUAGCUGGGGCCAUUGCCUCUACUUGCUGAAUCAUUUUAGAUCCUUAAAUAUUCCCAAAUUUUAAACUGAUGACUUGUAUCUAGCAAAUAAAUACCCUUAAAUGAUACUCUUUUUCA